rnacentral:siRNA from 1 species
AUUUAGAUGCUGAGUUGUUGAG